rnacentral:rRNA from 1 species
UACAGAGGUCCCAAGCGUUGUUCGGAUUCAUUGGGCGUAAAGGGUGCGUAGGCGGCGCGGUAAGUCGGGUGUGAAAUCUCGGAGCUUAACUCCGAAACUGCAUUCGAUACUGCCGUGCUUGAGGACUGGAGAGGAGACUGGAAUUUACGGUGUAAGCUGGUGAAAUGCGUAGAUAUCGUAAGGAAGACAGUGGCGAAGGCGGGU